AAUUAUUACAUUUAUAUUCUUUCCAUGCAUUUAUAUUAACUCUAUUGUCCUUUCGAUUACGCAGUAAGAUUCCAUCACUGGCCAGGAGCCCGGAUCAGUAGACUUCUAUAGAGGGACUCACUGUCGGCAGGCAACAGGAUCUUGGGUACAUCCUAGAGCCAGCGAGAUUUCGGAGGAGAUGGACACCUUACGCAGUCAGCCCACUCCCGAUGGUACUUAGCAGAGUGAGCCAGAGAUUCUGAGUUAGGUGUUUGGCACCCGUUAUGGAUAUGUGUGUGGGUUUGGCCAUGGUGCCAAGCUCAUGGCACCCACUAGAGCUACCUCCAGCUGAUCCAUCAUCGUUGGCAACAGCGCCGUACACCGAGCUGAUACAGUAGAGAGAGAGAAGUUCAACAGCUACGGGUCGUCGUCGAUGACAUCAAAGAUCAGCUGAACAGGUAGAGGGAGGAGCAGGAGAGGAGGAUGGAGGAGAUGCAGGUGGAGCAUCAGCGAUGGAUGACGGAGAUGUUUCAGGCUUUCACUACAAGCUUACCCACCGAUGCCCCACCACCUCCGCCUUCAUCUUUGUGAUUUUUUAUAUAUUUGUUUAUGAUGUUAAGUUUAUAUGCAUUUAUGCGUGAAUGAAUGUGAUGUGGAUAAGAUUGUUUGUGUUUGGAUGAAUGUAGUUUAUAUUUGGAUGGAUUUACUA